CACACGGUGAGGUUGCUGUGAGGUUGAAGACAGGGUAAUGUGAGGUUGAAGACAGGUUGCUGUGAGGUUGAAGACAGGUUGCUGUGAGGUUGUUGUGAGGUUGAAGACAGGUUGCUGUGAGGUUGUUGUGAGGUUGAAGACAGGUUGCUGUGAGGUUGAAGACAGGUUGCUGUGAGGUUGCUGUGAGGUUGAAGACAGGUUGCUGUGAGGUUGAAGACAGGUUGCUGUGAGGUUGCUCUGAGGUUGCUGUGAGGUUGAAGACAGGUUGCUGUGAGGUUGCUCUGAGGUUGCUGUGAGGUUGAAGACAGGUUGCUGUGAGGUUGCUGUGAGGUUGCUGUGAGGUUGAAGACAGGUUGCUGUGAGGUUGAAGACAGGUUGCUGUGAGGUUGCUGUGAGGUUGCUGGUGCGUUGAGGAGAGGUCGUGGAUGUUACUCCAACAGGGCAGCAUCUCCAGCUGUGAGGUUGAGGAGAGGUCGUGGAUGUUACUCCAACAGGGCAGCAUCUCCAGCACCAUACACACACUGUGAGGUUGAGGAGAGGUCGUGGAUGUUACUCCAACAGGGCAGCAUCUCCAGCUGUG
ensembl:lncRNA